rfam:Danio rerio chromosome 16, GRCz11 reference primary assembly.
AACUUGCUUCGUUGUAAGUCGCUUUGGAUAAAAGCGUCUGUUAAAUGACUAAAU